UUUUUUUUUUUUUUUUUUUUUUUGAGGGGAGCCUUGCUGUGUCGCCCAGGCUGGAGUGCAAUGGCGCAAUCUCAGCUCACUGCAAGCUCCGCCUCCUGGGUUCACGCCAUUCUCCUGCCUCAGCCUCCCGAGUAGCUGGGAAUACAGGCGCCCGCCACCAUGCCCAGCUAAUUUUUUGUAUUUUUAGUAGAGGUGGGGUUUCACUGCCUUAGCCAGGAUGGUCUCGAUCUCCUGACCUCGUGAUCUGCCCACCUCAGCCUCCCAAAGUGCUGGGAUUACAGGCGUGAGCCACCGCGCCGGGCCUGUGAUGCAUUGUAAGACAGAUUUUCUCACACUUUGUUUUGGUCAAAUAUGUACUAAUAGUAAUUGUAAUAAUUCAAUCUAGAAUAAAUAAAUCUAGAUUGAAUCUAGAUUGAAUAGAAAAAUCUAAAUAAAAGUCUAACAGUUUAUGGUCACAGGAAAUUUAAACAAAUUUCAAUUUUAGAGUGUCACAGAGAAUUAUGUAUGAGCAAAAGGAGACUUUCAUUCCUAAAGUUGUAGUAGGGUAAAUGUUUUGGGACAAAGUUGUAGGUAUGGGAGUGGAAUGGAAAUACAUGUGUAAGCAGAGGUUUCUGACUGUUGUAUAGAUGUGUAUUUUUAACCAGAUGAAGGUAGGUGUCCAACUGCAGUGGAGUUUACAUUCUGUUGGAUACAUUUAGAAGUGAUUUAAUAAUUUAGCUAAUAUUUGUAACAAUAGAAACUAUACUUUUUGCAACUAUUUAAAUUUAAAAUGAAUUUUAGGUAUUAAGCUUAGAUAUGCAUAGAUGUAAAUUUUUUUUUUUAGGGUACACAAGGGUAAGAAAGGUUGAAAAUGGCUACUUUACACUUGUCCUUGUAAAGCAGUGCCCACUUAUCCCUGGCUUUGCUCUUUCUGUCAGCCAGAUUCCCUUUCAGGGUCUGACUAGCUUUCCCUCUCCUUCUUGGCCCCUUCAUCCAGUGUGACUUUGCUGUGAAGCUGUUGGGUAAGGUGAAGGUUGGUGUGGCUUUGAUAACACUGGCCAGCUUUCAUUUAUUUAUCUGCUUUUUUCUUCUCUUCAUGUGUGUGGCCUUGGGCAGGCUCUCCUGGCUUGUCUGACACCGAGGUCUGUUCAUCCCCAUGUCUUCCUUCUGAUUUUUCUUAUGGUCAAAAGCUUGGUAAACCUCUCACUUUCUGUCCCAUUCAUCUUCAAUAGCUAGAGGUUAUACCUGGGGCUAUAAAAAUUGGUUGCUGAGAAAUUCUGAUACUGCCUGGUCCCAGUGAUUUAAUACAUAUAUUUGACAUUUUACCUCCACACCUCCUAGGUUGGGUCACUAUUUAGUACCACAGACUGCCCGUGUCAGGUUGGCUGAGAAGUGGGGCCCUGUCCCCUAGCGGUCCUCUUGUCGGGUUCAUUGGCUGGUAUCUUUGGCUCCUCAGGGACUCCCUAACCCACAGUCUUCAAGGAGUUGCAUUAAUUCUCUUAGACAUUUAAUUAGUGCACAGAAGCACACACUAUUAGGUGCUGGAGCCUCAGAGAUGAAUCAUGCUUAGGGUCAUUUUCAGGGUGUGUCUCCACCUCUUAGGGUUGAUAGACCACAUGGCUAGCAAGUGGCCUUGUUAUUGAGGAAUUCUGCAGUUAUCCUUCACCUGUUCUGAUCUGGGAGCUCUCUGUGACUGGCGGGGCUUGAUGGCUUUAGAGAAGGCUGCCCGGGUGGGUGUGGUGGAGGGAAACCUGGCUGUGGCUGCUGUUCUGGGAACCCAUGUCAUCCCUUGGUGGUAGCAGUUCAGGCCUGGUAGCCUGGAGGGCAGCAGCAGCUGCCUCUUGCUCUCAUGACGUGAACAAGAGCAGUGAGGGUGGCUCAGCACCUCCUGAGGUAGGAGGGGAGUGGGACGAUCACUUGCAGUCUCCUCUGCCAUCAGCCACUGUCACUUGCAUAAGCUGGAAUCAGGCCUCCUGACCUCUGUGGCUCCACGGUGCCCGGGUGCGGCACUGCUGCAGGAUGUGUUGGGAUGGGCAGGUCGGGGGGGCCCACAUGCUGCUUGCUCAGGGUCCCAAGGCUGCUGGAGCUGACUUGCCAGGGGAAGUCUGCUGCAAAACCCGAAACGGGGGGCGGUGAGUGGCCAGGAAGAGCAUUCUUUAGGUCAUAUUUUUUUCCUUGAGUUCUGACACAGCCCUCCUGGGACAUCCUGCCUUCUCUUGUUCUGACCUCGUCUAUGACAUAGAUUAGUCAUGGCCACAUGGUUGUACCUCAGGGCCAAAGCACAGGUCUCUACACUGCCUAAUGUGUAUUAGCCAGAUUGGAAUCUUUGCUGACUCCAAAUAUCAUUCCAAGCUGCCCCAGGCUGUGAGAAAUGGUGGCGUUGCCUCCCAGUUGGUAGAGAAGGUUUUAGGAAGAAGGCUUGGAAGGGCUGUAAAGUAAAGCAGACGGAGUUAGGGACCUGGGUUUUCCAAGGCAGGGAAGGAGAGGCUGAGUCUGUGUGGGCUGUACCUGGUGCCUGCCUGAAGGGCCAAGGAAGUAAGUAGGUGCAGAAAUUGGGGUGGUUUCUGAGGGCAUCUUGCCAAGCAGAGAGCUCAAGUCCCUCGUCUCAGCUCUCCUAGGGAGAGGGAGAGAGCAGGGAAGGGCAGCUAGGCUAGGGUGGAAGAGGCAGGCUCUGCUGGUCCAGGGCCCCCUUCAGGGUUCCAGCUGUACCAGGCUUAGGCUUCAGUUGUGAGUGCGGAGCCCUGAGCUCAAGCAUGGAGGCAGCGUGGUUGCUCAGCUCAGCCUCUCAUAGGAAGGCCUGGCAUCAGUUCCGGAAGUGCCUCGCCACUAGAGAGGGUGGGGAAGGUCAGAUGCUCCAGAAUCAGCUGAUACCUGCGAGGCUCUAACCCCAUCUUCCCCUCCCGCCUGCCCCCUGCUUAGGCCACAAAGCCUCCACGUUAUGCGGCAGAUUAAUUUGAAAAUUGAGUUGCAGCUGAAUGAGUUGAUGUCUUCAAAGUUCAGUGGUGUUUGAUUAGAGCCGUCCAGAGACUAGACUUGCUCCCAGGAAAUGAUUCUGACUGAAUAAUUAAAGUGAAUAAAGGUUAGAUUUGUGUUUCUGGCCAAAUCUGUGUUGCAUUCAGCAUCUCCAAAACAUGAAUUCCAUUAACCUUUCAUGAACUAGCAUUAAAUUACUUUCAAUUAGUUGUCAUUCUAAUUAAAGUUGAGUUACACAGAGCAGCCUUUGUUUAUACCUGGUAGCUGUUCCCUUGCCUCCUCUGGAACUAAGUACUCUUGAGCAAAUGGUCAUUUGGAAAGUUGGUUUUAUAACUUUGUGUCCCCCCACCCAUCACUCUGAAUCAGGACCUGUUCCUUGAGCCGAAGGAUGUGGGCGCCCACGGCAGCAGGAGGGCUGGGGGAGCAUUGCUGGCUAGAUUGAACCACGUGACUUGCAAAAAGCAAUCCCAUGGCUGUGGGAAAGGAAGUUAAGGAGUGUUUAAGGUAGGCCGCCCAGCCCAGGCAAGCUUGGGCAGGCCUUGGGGUACCAAGUGAGGGACGGUCUGCCCAGGUGGGACUUGGGCAGGUCGGGAGGGAAGUGUGCUGACCCCUGCGACGCCAUGACCUGGCUUAUUCUGAGCCUUUAUGCCUUGGGUGUGGGUGGCCUUGCUCCUGCUAAGGGGUAGAUCCGAGUCCUCCUCAGGGCCUGUCUGCAGCCUCAGUCUCCUGAGGGCCAGCAUUCCACGCUACUGUCUAGUGGCCACAGCAGGAGGGGUUGAGGGAGGACUGAAAUAAACAGUGUCCCCCUGCGGGACUCACCCAUAAGUUGUCAUCCAGCAUAUUUUUUCUGUUUGUUUUCUCCAUUGAUUAUGGAUGUGACAUGUUCUAACCAAGACAGAAUCUCUAAACCAGUGCGGGAUUCUGCAGGCUGGGGCACUUCGGGCCCUUCAAACCCAGGAUGCCAGAGGUGAGCUCGCUUUCUUUGGCUCCAGGUCUGAACAGAGGUUAGAGGUGCCCACCACUUGCCCUACCUUUGCCAUCAGUAGCCCUUGAAGCACAAAUCAUUCCUUCUGCAGUGUGCUGUGCAGUGGAGACAUGGAGAAAGGCGACACUGCUCCUGGCCUCCCGUGCUUGCAGAAUGAUGAGCACAGUCAGAGCGCAGUGGAGCGGCCCAGGGCAGGGCCAGGCCCUGGGAAGGCGAGAGGAGGAGUGGCAGGGAAGCUCCUGCCGGGGCGCUGUUGAACUUGCACCUCACGUGAGGUGGUUUCCACCAGAGGACAUGGGGAAGGCAUGCACCGAGGUGUGAGGGCAUCUCGGGUGCGCCUGGGGGGUUGGGGAGAAGAGAGGAAAGGCAGGGUCCAGGAUGAGAGUAAGAGGCUUAGGCCUUACGGAGCACAUUCCUGGGGCCAGGCCUGAGAGCUGGACUCUGACUGGUGAGCAGGGUGUGUGUCGGGGCUAACCACCUGAUCCAGCAAGGAUGUUUUUGUUUUGGUUUGCUUCUUUUGAACGCACAGUGGCAGUGUGGAGGACAGAAUGGAGAGGAAAAAGACUCACAGUUGAUAAUUAAGAGUUGUUAUGAGAGCUGAUGGGGGCCUGGGAGUGACAGCCGAGGGCACAAGAGAAAGGAAUGGAUCCCAGGGGCGUGAGGAAGGCAGAGUGAACCCAGUGUGACAACUGCCCAUCUCUGGAGAGGGGAGGAGGUCUCUGGGGUACCCCCAGGAUGGUGCAGCUUGGCUUCUGGGUGAGUGGGGAAUGGAGUACAGAACCCGGGGGUAAACAAGGCAGGGCGUGUUUCUUUGGAGAAUGUGGGUUGCCUGUGGGUCUUCUAGGUGAGGAAUCCCAUAAGCAUUCGGUCUGGGGAGAAGGCGAGGGAUCUGGACUGGAGUUAAAACUCGAGACCGAAUAUACAGGUGGCUGCAGAAACCAGGGGUGUCUGCGACAUUGUUCAGAGGGUUGUGUGGGAGUGAGGAAAUAGAAUGGGGGAUAACCAAGACUGAACAAGGCGGGUGGAGAGGAAGAGAGCAGCGAGGCUCACGGGGUGUGUGAACAGAGGAAGGCAGACAUGACAGAGAGCACACUUUGGGUUCCAUUCAUGUAAAAGCCAAAACCAAACCGACGUCUUCAGUGGCGACAGGAGGUCAGAGUUGAGGCCGCCUUGUGGGAGUCCCUGACGGGAGCAGGUCACAGGCCGACUUCUGAGUGCUGGCAGCAAUCCGGGUCUUCCUCCAGGGGUGGCUGUGUGGGUGUAUACGUGUGCACAGUGCGCUGAGAUUUUGCACUUUAUUGGAAGUAAUAAAUUGAAAAAGUGUUAAAAAUAAGAAAGGAGGAAAGCAAGGAAGGAGGGAGGGAGGAAGGGCAGGAGGAAAGAAAGAAACCAGGAGGAAUGGUGGCAGGAGAGGAGGGGGUUUCAAGGAGGAUGACGGCCAGUGUCGCUCACAUGCCUGGAGCUCAAGCCACUGUGCGGGCUCUGUAGAGGCAGGAGUAACGCCUCUGGCCUUGGAGGCUGCCCCGCAGUCCUCGCGGUUCAGCACUAGUGUGUGUCCCUCAUGCUUCGAGUGAGUGGUGUGGAGCGGAGCCUAGCGUCGAAUCAGGACAUGGAGGAGCAAGAGCCACUGGGGGAUCUUGUGCCCGAGAAACCCCUCAGCUCCUGGUGGUGCCGACGGCCGUGUCUGUGGUUUCCUGAGUGCCCUCCCUGGCAAAUCCUUGUGUUUAAACUUGAUAAUGUUUAAUAAAAAGAUGUAAUUAACUACUAAAAUUUGAUUAAAAAAAACUUCCUUCUAUUUUAAUGUGAGAGUUUCCCAUAGAAACCACUUCAGUUUUGGCGUGGUGAACGGCAGCUUUAUUAAUGGAGCCAUCUGCAGGCUUUCCUCACAAUCUGUUGCAUUGCCCAUGGCUUCCAGUGCAAACACCGGUGAUUGUGAUGCAGGCUCCAGCCAGUGAUCAGAGGGGACGGCCUUCCUGGCGCUCUGAUGCAGGGAUAGCUAAUCUCUCGUUCUCUUAUGUGCUGAGCUCGCCAGGAUGUCUCUCCCCUUUGGAUUGGAUGUGGGCAAGGCCUUCAUCUUCUUUUUCCUUUCUAGACCUGGGAGAUGGUACCUCUGCUGCACAGAUAGCACCUAAACCCACCUCCACUCACUGGAAAAUGCUUCCAUGGGAAGCAAUAAUUCUCCCCGUGAGUGAAAACUGUUUCCUGAGGCCUUCUCCACCGUAGCCAGUGGUUAGAGCCCUGCUGUUAGAUUCCUCACUGGCCCCCCGACAGGCUGACCGCCAGGCGGGGAUGGAGUUGGAUCACACCAAGUCUCCAGGGUCUUGGUGAGGGCUGAGUCCUAUCCGGGGGAUUCUUGGCUCCACUCAUAAUUAAUCAUCUUCUCCAUGGAAAUGUCCAAGCCUGGCAAACGUUUCUGCUAAUGAUUCUGGUGAGAUGUUCACAGGCAGCACAUGGCAGGCCACAUCAACACAGAUCUUGCUAACAGAGCCGGGGCCUGUCGCUCUCGGAGAAAGCCUGGUCCCCUCAUCUCAGUUCUGCAGCAGUCUUGGGAGGGCUCUGCUAAAGAAAGUGAAAUUCUGCUCUUCCUUUCCAUUUGAUUAAUUCUGAAUAAGGGAAGCUGAUUUAGCCCAGACACCCAAGGAAAGGCAGAGGCUGGAUGGCUUCAGGGGAGGGCAUCCGAGGAGGAGUGGGUACCAACGACACAUCAACCAGAAGCAAGACGAGGAGGGAGAAGGGACUGGCCGCUGUGGUUGGGGGAGAAACAUGGAACGGCUGUCUCCGCCUUGCAUGUGGGCUAGGAGCAUGGGGAGUAGGGUUAUGGACCAACCAACCGUCAUCGGAGGGGCGGACCAGAAGAUGAAUUCUUAGUGCUCCCAGGUCGUCUCUUGUCCCUAUGGUCCCAGAUGCUGAGCUUCACAGUCAUACCCCAGACUGACACCCUCCCUCGCCUAGGCUUCCCUCAUGGCCACGCCAUGCUAGGGGUUCUCCCAUAGGGACCCAUGAUAGCAGAGCGGGCGCUAGAAAGCCAGUGGGCACCGCGUGGUCCCACGGUCCGCACUGUCUCCUCUGACGGUCAGUGGAGCACUGCAGGUGCACACGUGCAGGGAGAGUUUCAAAAGGCUUUGUGGUAGUAAGGCUCAUUUUCUUCUCCGUAUUCCCUUCAAAAGCAUAAAAAGAAGGUAAAGUUUCUAUGUCAUUAUGUACAUUUUUUAUUUUGAGACUAACAGGAAGUUGAAAAAUAGAGUCCCAUGAACCCUUCCCUCCGCUUCCCCCAGUGGUGACAUCUUACGUUAACUAUAUGAGACCAGGAAAGUAACAUUGGAAGGACACAGUAAUCCAGACCACAGGCUUCCUUGGUUUUCAGCAGUUCAGCGUACACUCUAUGGAAUUUGACCCCACGUGUAGAUUCAUGCGGCCGCCAUCCUACUCAUCGUCACUGCAGAGGAAUCCCCUUGUGCCACCCCUUUGUAGUUGCCUCCCCUCCCUUCCAUCCCUGUCCCCUGAAGUCACUAGUCUUUUCUCUGUCUCUGUAGUUUUGUCAUUUCAAGAAUGGUGUAUCAAUGGGAUGCAGUUUGUAGACUUUUGAGAUGGGCUGUUUUUCACUGUUGCUCAUGCCCGUGAGCACCAUCACAUGUGCAUGUGUUCACAGCCUUUUUUCUUGCUAAGUAAUAUUCCACUGUGUGGGUUGCACAUCACCUUGGUUUUUCUGUGAAGAUUGCAGAAGUAGCAACAUCACUUUUUAAAUAUUGAGAUUCAGCCUUUUGGAGGUUGAUUCUAGAAUUUAAGCAAUGGGUGGAUGGUUUCAGUGCAUGAGUAAUCCAAGAUUCCUUAGGAAUAAUUUACUUUGUACAUUUUCCAUUAUACAUUAUAGCAUCUAGUUACAAUUUUCUAAUUUUGAGGGAACAUGACUUUGCUCUAAACCAAUUCUAAAAUAUACAAAGUUUGUUUUUACAACCUUUCUAGAGUGUAUGCUCCGUGAGGGCAGGGGCUAAUCUUUCUCAUUUUGGGAUUCCUUGCUGAGCCCCACACAGUUCCUUGCACUAGGCAGGUUCUUAAUAUAUAUCUGAUGAAUGGGUGCCUCCUUUGGAUCCUCAGUCCCACAUAAACUCCCCAGGAUUUACACUGGCUGCCACUUUGAAGGUGGUGGCAACACAAUGCAUGUUUCUUGCAGAGAGACUGAAGUCCGUAGACGAGGAGCUGCUGUAAGGCAUCUGACUUGCAUUUGUCAAUUGAAACAGAGCUCUACGGUGACAGCUCCAGCUUCUGGUUUCCCUGCUUUUAACCAGGUUAUCAAAUGAUUCCAACCCAGUGUCAGCCAAACGGGCAUCAUUGUUGACAGUGGCUCCAGUCUCCUGUGACCUUUCCUAGGAGGCACAAGGGCUUGGUUACUGUGAUCAGUCACGCAUGAGAUGGGAUGACCAGGCUGAGGGCUUUGCAUAUUAAGAAAUUCAUUUUCCUCCCUGAGGCCCUUUCUUCGGGCACUCACUUUCUUCUCAGUGCCUUCAAUGAGAUCUGGUGAAAGGACACCCUGUCAGGAGUUGACGUCGGCCUCUGGAAUCAAUUUUGUUGAAUCCCACUGAGAUACUUAGUCAUCAUCAGCAGUGGUCCAUAUUCAUCUGUCAGUGGAUGGCUCUUCAGGAAAAUCUAUUUUCAGGACUACAGGAUUAUGUUGCUAAAAGGGAGGAGACGGAAGAUCAAAGUUCUAUGGCUGAGCAUGAAGUUGACUCAACCUCCCAACACUUGCCACAGGAAGUGAGGGAUGGGGAAUGAGGACGAAGUGGAAAAAGCACAUGGCCAAUGACGGAGAGAAGCUGCUACGCUGAGCUCAGUGAAAUGGAAUUGCCCAAAGCCUGGAUAAUAAGGGAGUGGUGUUUUCACACCAGUAGGUUUUAAAUUGAACAUUAGGGACUGAGGACUUCUGUGCCAUGGUCAGAGAAGGCAGGAAGAACAAGCAUUUGCUGGCAGCAGGUGGCACAGUGAACCAGCCUGGUGGUUCUUCUGCCCCAUGCUGUGGUUGUAGGGAUAGCAGGGAAGGAUUUGUGCAUAAGCUCCCCUUCACCUCUGACACGAUUCAGAGUCCAAAGCCUCAUCAUCACCUUCUCUUCUGCCAGUCUUAAAUUCUUCUACUGGAAGUUUAACCGAUUUCAUUCUUAUUAACAACCAUUGUUAUUUUACAGUGCAUAUAACCUACAGCAAGCGAGCAUGGCAGCUGGCCGCACGGACUCCGGAGGCGGGAGUACCUGGCUUCAACUCGUAGCUCAGCCAGUUGGCUUCUCUGUACCUCAAGUUUCUUCAUCUGUGAAAUGGAGAUAAUCGAAUUUAGUAUUUUUGAAAAGAUUGAGUUAAUACAUGUUAAACACAUGAAGUGUUAACUGUUUUCAUUGAAUAGCAUCUAGUCAUGGGGCUGGGCCGUAUUUUAAUCAUUGAACACCUUGGUUUUAUUUCAGCCUAUUUCUUCAUGUUUUUGUCCUUUGAGACAUAGAAGUGGUGCCCUUCAGGUUUUCUACCAGAUUUCUGAAUUGGAACCUACAGACCAUUCUGUCUCUGUGGCUGCUGGAGACUCAAGUCGUGGCAUCUUGGACAAAGGGACUUUUCCAGCAGGGUGGGCUUCAGUGAUGGUGACACAGAUGUGCAGCAUCGCUGUGUCGUGGACUCACCUCCUCCCGGACUGAGGACCAAGACUGACAGAGACUGUCUUCUGUUUCCCUUAUCUCCUUUCCAAAGUCUGUGAAUCUACCCUGGUCCUUUCCUUCUAUGUCUAAUGAAUGUCUUUCUCCUAGUGUAGUAGAGGAAGUACAAAUUUUGAAGUUCUAGAACAUAAAAAGUCUCAGCAUGGCCAUGAUCUAAACAAACAUGGGCUGGUUACUAAAUCUCCCAAACUCAUUUCCUCAUCUACUGUCACCUCCCUGUAUCCCUGAACACCUGGGUAUUGGGAGAUGUUGGGCCCACAGUAGGUGCUCCUCCAGGGGCAGCUCUUCUUGGUCCAUAUCCUGCCCAUCUGCUCUUCAGCCUUCGUGGUCCUAAAAACAUGUACUUGUCCUUUAUUUACAGCUUUAAGCUGGAAAACUAGUUCCUUCUAGAAGUUACACUAAUACAACACCUCAAUGUGCCCAAAAUCUAAUUCAUCAUUUCUCCAUAGAAGUAGUUUUGGAUUUUCUUACUUUUAAAGAAAAAUCACAUUGUUGAGCGGGUUUGUUUUGGUGCCCACUAGCCAUUCUGUCUCAGAAUCAGUGAAAAUGGAACUUCUACCCCAGGAUAGCCUCUCAUGGAUUAGUGUACGUAAGUGGCUGUGAAUAUUCAGUCACCAGGGACAGGUAAGGCAAUAAUGAAAACCCCAUUAUUUCUAUGAUUGUAAAACUGGGGAAUGUUUGUUUGGAAUACUAUCAACCUAUUCUUCAUAAAGAAAAAUUUGUAGUAGCCAAUUUGUGAUUGUGGUAUACAGAAGAUCUGCGUUACUAAAGCAACAUGGGAGAGAUGGGAGAAAGCAGAGAAUGCCAUGGCCUACUGAGUUCAAGUACUUCACAAAGGCUAACAAACACUGCGAGGCAGCCUAGUCAGAUGGGUAACCAAGAUUAUCAGGAUUAUCCAAUAUUAAACAUUAGAGAAAGUGUUGACAUGAAAUAAAACAAAGCUAUCCCCAUUUUCAAUGGGAGCAUAAGUCAGAAGUAAUUUCCUCUAACAUUAUGAGAUGGGAGUUUGUUACUACCAGAAUGAUUUUAUCCACAGCAGCAGCAGUAGCCCACUGAUAAAUGUUGUCUUCUGAAUUGUCAUGCCUUCUGAUAACUGGAUAGUCAUGGAAACUCGCAGUAUAAAUGAAGAAAGAGUUAAGACGCGCUUAAAAAGAGGAAACAUUUUGAUUAGUUUAUUUUUUAAUCUUCAAAAUUUUCUGCCAUGAGACAGGAAUGCAUGAUAGCAAUGGCUCAACAUCUUCACAUGAAACACUUGGAUUCAUUUUCAUUCACAAGUUUUUCUAAAAACAUCUACAGUUUCAUAACCCCACCCACUUCCAACCAUUAUCACAGAUUUAACUGACCAUUAAACAGUAGUUGCCAGCAUUAAAUAGCUGGAACGCUUCCUGCGUAUUAGUAGUGUCUUUUGAAACUACCACUGAAGAGUAUCAUGAUUAUAAAUCUCAUUGUACAUGGCAACCCCAAAGGUGACUGAUGUUCUCAAAUAAACUCCCUGCUGAUCACCGAGA